rnacentral:rRNA from 1 species
AGAACGAACGCUGGCGGCAUGCCUAAUACAUGCAAGUCGAACGAACUCUUCGGAGUUAGUGGCGCACGGGUGCGUAACGCGUGGGAAUCUGCCCUUGGGUUCGGAAUAACAGUUGGAAACGACUGCUAAUACCGGAUGAUGACGAAAGUCCAAAGAUUUAUCGCCCAGGGAUGAGCCCGCGUAGGAUUAGCUAGUUGGUGGGGUAAAGGCUCACCAAGGCGACGAUCCUUAGCUGGUCUGAGAGGAUGAUCAGCCACACUGGGACUGACGACACGGCCCAGACUCCGUACGGGAGCAGCAGUAGGAAUGUGGACAAGUGGGACGCAAGCCUAGACUCCAGCAAUCGACCGCGUGAGUGAUGAAGGCCUUAGGGUUCGUAAAGGUCUUACGUUUAACCCGAGUAUGUAA